UUUAAAUUGAGAGUUUGAUCCUGGCUCAGGACGAACGCUGGCGGCGUGCCUAACACAUGCAAGUCGAGCGAUGCGAUCCUUCGGGGUCAAUUAGCGGCGGACGGGUGAGUAACACGUGGGUAACCUGCCUCAAAGAGGGGAAUAGCCUCCCGAAAGGGAGAUUAAUACCGCAUAAUAUGUUUUGAUCGCAUGAUCUUAACAUCAAAGGAAUUUUU
rnacentral:rRNA from 1 species